AGCAGCCGCGGUAAUUCCAGCUCCAAUAGCGUAUAUUAAAGUUGUUGCAGUUAAAAAGCUCGUAGUUGAAUUUCGGAAUCAGUUCGUCGGUCGUGCCUUUGGUAUGUACUGGUGUUACUGGUUCCUCCCUUCUGACGAACCGUCAUGUCAUUAAUUUGGUGUGGCGGGAAAUCAGGACUGUUACUUUGAAAAAAUUAGAAUGUUUAAAGCAGGCUCGCGCUUGAAUACAUUAGCAUGGAAUAAUGAAAUAGGACGUUCGAUCCUAUUUUGUUGGUUUCUAGGAUUGACAUAAUGAUUAAUAGGGAUAGUUGGGGGCAUUAGUAUUCAAUUGUCAGAGGUGAGAUUCUUGGAUUUAUUGAAGACUAACUGCUGCGAAAGCAUUUGCCAAGGAUGUUUUCAUUAAUCAAGAACGAAAGUUAGGGGAUCGAAGACGAUCAGAUACCGUCGUAGUCUUAAACCAUAAACUAUAGCCGACUAGGGAUCGGAUGAUGUUAAUUUUUAAUGA
rnacentral:misc_RNA from 1 species